UACGGAGGGUGCGAGCGUUGUCCGGAAUCACUGGGCGUAAAGGGCGCGUAGGUGGCGCGGGCAGUCAACGGUGAAAGUUCGGGGCUCAACCCUGAGUCGGCCGUCGAUACUCCCGGGCUUGAGCACUGUAGAGGCAGAUGGAAUUCCGGGUGUAGCGGUGGAAUGCGUAGAGAUCCGGAAGAACACCGGUGGCGAAGGCGGUCUGCUGGGCAGUAGCUGACACUGAGGCGCGACAGCGUGGGGAGCAAACAGG
rnacentral:rRNA from 1 species